CGGCGUGGCGGUGAGGAGCGGUCCCGAGCGCGGCUCCGCUCGUCUCCUCUGCGGCUCCCGCCGGGCCCUUGGUCCCUGGCCGGCCCCGGCGCGGCAGGGCAUGGUGGCGCCCGGGCUGGGGCCGUGGCUCCUGGCCUUGUCCUUGGCCGCGGGGCCGGCAGGGCUGUGGGCGCAGCUGAGGCUGGUGGAGACCGGCGGAGGGCUGCGAGCGCCCGGGGACUCCGUGCACCUCUCUUGCCGCGGAUCCGGCUUCACCUUCGAGGAUUAUGUCGUUCUGUGGUACCGUCAGGCACCGGGUAGCAGUCUGGAGUGGGUCUCCGUCAUCUGGGCAUCGGGUGGUACAAAUUAUGGCCCAGCAGUGGAGGGCCGAGCCACAGUCUCCCGGGACAAUUCCCGUUCCGAGUCAUCUCUGUCCCUGCGGCACCUGCACCCUCAGGACUCUGCCCGCUACUUCUGCGCUGUUCGCACGGAGACAGGAAAUCCAGCAGAGCUUUAACACAAACCUCGCACCAGGGCCCUGGCUCUGGGCCUGGGAGCUGGCAGGAAGGUGAGUCCCCCAGAUGUUCUCAGAGAUUCAUGUAUUUACAGCAUAGAGUUUUCAAAUGGUUGAUUCUGACCGGGAUGUCCUACCUUUUUAUGUCCCCGGAUGAGCUCUGACCAUUCUGUUUCCCUUCUUCCCGUGUGUCAUGCCAACCCUUUCUUCUCUCACACUCCACAAUUCCUUCCCCUUUGGAAAAAAGUUUUGCUGUUUCCAUCGAAUCCCGGUAGUACAAGUACCCAGAGACGGCCCAACUGGUGAAGGCUGUGAAUAGCCCUUCUCUGCUUUUGGGCACGGCUCAGAUUUACUCAGUCCAGCCCAGGAGUUUUCCUGCCUGAGGAGGGAGCAGAAGAGAUGGGGAAAUCCCGAGGGUCAUUUGGGAUCUCCCUGGGAGAAAGGGGAAGUCUGUUCUACUCUGCCAGAUCUGAGA